rnacentral:tmRNA from 1 species
GGGGGCGACUUGGAUUCGACGUGGGUCGCGAAACCCAAGGGGCAUGCCGAGGGGCAGAGUACCUCGUAAAUCCAACUGCAAAAAACAUAGUUGCCAACGACGACAACUACGCACUCGCCGCUUAAAACCCGGUAGGGUGCCGUCCGACUGAAGCCGUGCUGGUGCGUUCAGGUUUCGGGCGUCAUACCUCAUCAGAUCGCGACGCGGCCCGCCCGGGGCCAAACCGCUAAAACGCUGUAGGGAUCGCUGGAAAAUCACCCUGUCUGUCGGGGGGGGCUCCGGCUAAAUCAAAUGACAGACUACGCAUGUAGAACCGACGGCAGAGGACUUACGGACGCGGGUUCGAUUCCCGCCGCCUCCACCA